CGGAUUGCAGCCUGCAACUCGGCUGCAUGAAGCUGGAAUCGCUAGUAAUCGCGGAUCAGAAUGCCGCGGUGAAUACGUUCCCGGGUCUUGUACACACCGCCCGUCACGCCAUGGGAGCCGGAAACGCCCGAAGCCAGCGGCCCAACCGCAAGGGGGGAGCUGUCGAAGGCGGGUCCGGUGACCGGGGUGAAGUCGUAACAAGGUACC
rnacentral:rRNA from 1 species